CCUACGGGAGACAGCAGUAGGGAAUCUUCCACAAUGGGCGAAAGCCUGAUGGAGCAACGCCGCGUGGGUGAAGAAGGUCUUCUGAUCGGUAAACCCUGUUGUUCGAGAAGAAAGUGCGUGAGAGUAAGUGUUCACGUGUCUACGUUAUCUAACCACAUAGCCUCGGCUAACUACGUGCCAGCAGCCGCGGUAAUGAGUAGGGGGCAAGCGUUGUCCGGUUUUAUUGGGCGUAAAGGGAUAGCAGGGGGGCUUUUAAGGCCGAUGUGAAAGCCUUCGGCUUAAACGGAGUAGUGCAGUGGAAACUGGGAGACUUGAGUGCAGAAGAGGAGUGUGGAACUCGAUGUGUAGCGGUGAAAUGCGUAGAUAUAUGGAAGAACACCAGUGGCGAAGGCGGCACUCUGGUCUUUAACUGACGCUGAGGUUCGAAAGCGUGGGUAGCAAACAGGAUUAGAUACCCGUGUAGUC
rnacentral:rRNA from 1 species